CCUACGGGAGGCAGCAGUGAGGAAUAUUGGUCAAUGGACGAGAGUCUGAACCAGCCAAGUAGCGUGAAGGAUGACUGCCCUAUGGGUUGUAAACUUCUUUUAUAUGGGAAUAAAAUGUUCCACGUGUGGGAUUUUGUAUGUACCAUAUGAAUAAGGAUCGGCUAACUCCGUGCCAGCAGCCGCGGUAAUACGGGGGGUCCGAGCUUUAUUCGGAUUUAUUUGGGUUAAAGGGAGCGUAGGGGGAUUGGUAAGUCAGUUGUGAAAGUUUGCGGCUCAACCGUAAAAUUGCAGUUGAAACUGGCAGUCUUGAGUGCAGUAGAGGUGGGCGGAAUUCGUGGUGUAGCGGUGAAAUGCUUAGAUAUCACGAAGAACUCCGAUUGCGAAGGCAGCUCACUGGACUGCAACUGACACUGAGGCACGAAAGUGUGGGUAUCAAACAGGAUUAGAUACCCUAGUAGUC
rnacentral:rRNA from 1 species